UGGAGAACACAGGGGGGAGUCAUUGCCCAACCAGGAGGACAGUGGCUGUAAGAAAUGAGCUCUGCUUGAUGUUUGGCUUUAUUUGGCUUUGUUCAUUUUUACUGUGCAUUGAUGGAGGCGGGGGCUUGCUUCCUACAAGGACAUGGGUUGGGGCUGUCAGUGGCUGCCCAAAGGGUUAACACAGGCUGGCCUGAUGCAGAGGGUAUCAUCCUUAGCAGUGAGAGCAGGGACCAGCCACAUUUGUUCUCUUGUCAUUCCUGCUUUUUUAGGGGGUAAACAGGAGCACUAGGGAGGGUGUUACAGGCUGUGCCCUGUGGAAAAAUCCAGAGUGCACACCGUGGAUAGUGCUGGUGGGGCUCCUGAGCCAAGAGUCCCACUCCCAGAGCCUGAGGUCCUUCACCCAGAGCUCCCCACGGCCCCUCUCAGCACCCCCCAGCCCCCAGCGUGUGCCCAAGCAUUGCCAAUUUGCCCAGCUCUGGACCCCUUCCCUUCACAAAUCCCACCAAACUGCAGCCGAGGGCACUGCUGGGAGGGGGCGCUUACCCGGCACUGCAUCCUCUCUCUGUGUGAAGGCCCAAGGUCACGUGGCUCUGCACAUUUCUAGGAGACAACAGCCCUCCUUGUCACCUGCCCUUAUGCCCUGGAGAGGAAUGGCCCUGUCUCCUCUGGCCCACAGCUCUGUGGUUUGAGGUCCCAGCAAUAGGCCUUGUUAACGAUCCUUUCCCCUCACCUCCCCGCCUUUCAGGAAUGGUGGCUGUGUCAACAGGUAGGGCUGAUGGGGGUGACACUGACAGGAUCACAAGCCUCCAUCUUUGGCUCUGCUGCUGGCUUCGGGUGAGUCCUUUCACACCCUUUACAACCUAGUUUUUCUCAUUUAUAAAGUGGGAGUCCUGCUCCUUCCCCCUGAGGCUGUUUUAAGGAUGCUGUGCUCAGGGCAGGUAAGUAACACACACCUGUCACAGGCAGGAGUUGGGUAGGGCCUCCUCCAGUCCUGCCAUCACUACUGAAGUGGGAACUUGGGUGCUAGUGUUGGGUGCCCUAGGAUUCUCAUCUGUCAGAGCCUGCUGGUGAUGCCCCUCUCCGCAGGACACUGCCACGCUGCCCUUGAGGGAGGGGAAGACAGAAAGGGUUACACUUGUUAUACCAUUUACUUUUCCUUUGUGGUCCUUACCAUGAGGGUAGUUAUUUAUCUACCUUUGGUUUUUAUAAAAACCUCUUUUAUGGAAAAUGUGACACAUUUAUAAAAGAUAACAGAACAGCACCAUGGAUUCCAUGUACCUGUCGCAGCCCUCCACUCUGUCAAUCGAGGCAUCAUGGCAUCUGUAAAUAUCUUGGUACGUGUCACUAAGAGAUGAGAGGGCUUCUAUAAGACAGAGCCACAAAUACACGUUGUAAAUAAGUUUGUCCAAACCCAA
rnacentral:lncRNA from 1 species